rnacentral:lncRNA from 1 species
UCUCCGUUUCUCUAGGGAAUAGCAAUUUUAUAGUGGUUAGUCUAAUGAUUUAGGGAGUAUUUGCAGUUUUGCUAAAUUAAUGGAUAAAAAAUUAGAACGAUGUCCAUGUACCAUGAAAAGAAGUUUAUCAUACAUUAAUACAAAGUUAUAAUGUGGUUUUAAAUUUUAAAACAAAUUUAGAGAUUAUAGGCUUCAUAUAAAGAGCAUUUACCGAAAACUCACUAUUUUCGUAGGGGUUAACCCAUAGAUUUUGAAAAAAAUCAAAAAAAUUGAAAAUACUGUUUUAAUACAUAUUUGAAUCAAGUAAAAAAAUAUGAUGAAGUUCAAAGAGGUUUGGAACCUUUGUUGUCUCCGUUUCUCUAGGGAAUAGCAAUUUUAUAGUGGUUAGUCUAAUGAUUUAGGGAGUAUUUGCAGUUUUGCUAAAUUAAUGGAUAAAAAAUUAGAACGAUGUCCAUGUACCAUGAAAAGAAGUUUAUCAUACAUAAAUACAAAGUUAUAAUGUGGUUUUAAAUUUUAAAACAAAUUUAGAGAUUAUAGGCUUCAUAUAUAGAGCAUUUACCGAAAACUCACUAUUUUCGUAGGGGGGUACACAUAGAUUUUGAGAAAAAUUCAAAAAUUUUGAAAAUACUGUUUUAAUACAUAUUUGAAUCAUGUAAUAAUAUAUGAUGAAGUUCAAAGAGGUUUGGAACCUUUGUUGUCUCCGUUUCUCUAGGGAAUAGCAAUUUUAUAGUGGUUAGUCCAAUGAUUUAGGGAGUAUUUGCAGUAAAUUAAUGGAUAAAAAAUUAGAACGAUGUCCAUGUACCAUGAAAAGAAGUUUAUCAUACAUUAAUACAAAGGUAUAAUGUGGUUUUAAAUUUUAAAACAAAUUUAAAGAUUAUAGGCUUCAUAUAUAGAGCAUUUACCGAAAACUCACUAUUUUCGUAGGGGUUAACACAUAGAUUUUGAAAAAAAUUCAAAAAAUUGAAAAUACUGUUUUAAUACAUAUUUGAAUCAUGUAAUAAAAUAUGAUGAAGUUCAAAGAGGUUUGGAACCUUUGUUGUCUCCGUUUCUCUAGGAAUAACAAUUUUAUAGUGGUUAGUCUAAUGAUUUAGGGAGUAUUUACAGGUUUGCUAAAUUAAUGGAUAAAAAAUUAGAACGAUGUCCAUGUACCAUGAAACGAAGUUUAUCAUACAUUAAUACAAAGGUAUAAUGUGGUUUUAAAUUUUAAAACAAAUUUAAAGAUUAUAGGCUUCAUAUAUAGAGCAUUUACCGAAAACUCACUAUUUUCGUAGGGGGGUACACAUAGAUUUUGAGAAAAUUCAAAAAAUUUGACAAUACUGUUUUAAUACAUAUUUGAAUCAUGUAAUAAAAUAUGAUGAAGUUCAAAGAGGUUUGGAACCUUUGUUGUCUCCGUUUCUCUAGGGAAUAGCAAUUUUAUAGUGGUUAGUCUAAUGAUUUAGGGAGUAUUUGCAGUUUUGCUAAAUUAAUGGAUAAAAAAUUAGAACGAUGUCCAUGUACCAUGAAAAGAAGUUUAUCAUACAUUAAUACAAAGGUAUAAUGUGGUUUUAAAUUUUAAAACAAAUUUAAAGAUUAUAGGCUUCAUAUAUAGAGCAUUUACCGAAAACUCACUAUUUUCGUAGGGGGGUACACAUAGAUUUUGAGAAAAAUUCAAAAAAUUUGAAAAUACUGUUUUAAUACAUAUUUGAAUCAUGUAAUAAUAUAUGAUGAAGUUCAAAGAGGUUUGGAACCUUUGUUGUCUCCGUUUCUCUAAGGAAUAGCAAUUUUAUAGUGGUUAGUCUAAUGAUUUAGGGAGUAUUUGCAGUUUUGCUAAAUUAAUGGAUAAAAAAUUAGAACGAUGUCCAUGUACCAUGAAAAUAAGUUUAUCAUACAUUAAUACAAAGGUAUAAUGUGGUUUUAAAUUUUAAAACAAAUUUAAAGAUUAUAGGCUUCAUAUAUAGAACAUUUACCGAAAACUCACUAUUUUCGUAGGGGGGUACACAUAGAUUUUGAGGAAAAUUUGAAAAUACUGUUUUAAUACAUAUUUGAAUCAUGUAAUAAUAUAUGAUGAAGUUCAAAGAGGUUUGGAACCUUUGUUGUCUCCGUUUCUCUAGGGAAUAGCAAUUUUAUAGUGGUUAGUCCAAUGAUUUAGGGAGUAUUUGCAGUAAAUUAAUGGAUAAAAAAUUAGAACGAUGUCCAUGUACCAUGAAAAGAAGUUUAUCAUACAUUAAUACAAAGGUAUAAUGUGGUUUUAAAUUUUAAAACAAAUUUAAAGAUUAUAGGCUUCAUAUAUAGAGCAUUUACCGAAAACUCACUAUUUUCGUAGGGGUUAACCCAUAGAUUUUGAAAAAAAUCAAAAAAUUUGAAAAUACUGUUUUAAUACAUAUUUGAAUCAUGUAAAAAAAUAUGAUGAAGUUCAAAGAGGUUUGGAACCUUUGUUGUCUCCGUUUCUCUAGGGAAUAGCAAUUUUAUAGUGGUUAGUCUAAUGAUUUAGGGAGUAUUUGCAGUUUUGCUAAAUUAAUGGAUAAAAAAUUAGAACGAUGUCCAUGUACCAUGAAAAGAAGUUUAUCAUACAUUAAUACAAAGUUAUAAUGUGGUUUUAAAUUUUAAAACAAAUUUAAAGAUUAUAGGCUUCAUAUAUAGAGCAUUUACCGAAAACUCACUAUUUUCGUAGGGGGGUACACAUAGAUUUUGAGAAAAAUUCAAAAAAUUUGAAAAUACUGUUUUAAUACAUAUUUGAAUCAUGUAAUAAUAUAUGAUGAAGUUCAAAGAGGUUUGGAACCUUUGUUGUCUCCGUUUCUCUAGGGAAUAGCAAUUUUAUAGUGGUUAGUCCAAUGAUUUAGGGAGUAUUUGCAGUAAAUUAAUGGAUAAAAAUUAGAACGAUGUCCAUGUACCAUGAAAAGAAGUUUAUCAUACAUUAAUACAAAGGUAUAAUGUGGUUUUAAAUUUUAAAACAAAUUUAAAGAUUAUAGGCUUCAUAUAUAGAGCAUUUACCGAAAACUCACUAUUUUCGUAGGGGUUACACAUAGAUUUUGAAAAAAAUCAAAAAAUUGAAAAUACUGUUUUAAUACAUAUUUGAAUCAUGUAAUAAAAUAUGAUGAAGUUCAAAGAGGUUUGGAACCUUUGUUGUCUCCGUUUCUCUAGGGAAUAGCAAUUUUAUAGUGGUUAGUCUAAUGAUUUAGGGAGUAUUUGCAGUUUUGCUAAAUUAAUGGAUAAAAAAUUAGAACGAUGUCCAUGUACCAUGAAAAGAAGUUUAUCAUACAUUAAUACAAAGGUAUAAUGUGGUUUUAAAUUUUAAAACAAAUUUAAAGAUUAUAGGCUUCAUAUAUAGAGCAUUUACCGAAAACUCACUAUUUUCGUAGGGGGGUACACAUAGAUUUUGAGAAAAAUUCAAAAAAUUUGAAAAUACUGUUUUAAUACAUAUUUGAAUCAUGUAAUAAUAUAUGAUGAAGUUCAAAGAGGUUUGGAACCUUUGUUGUCUCCGUUUCUCUAGGGAAUAGCAAUUUUAUAGUGGUUAGUCUAAUGAUUUAGGGAGUAUUUGCAGUUUUGCUAAAUUAAUGGAUAAAAAAUUAGAACGAUGUCCAUGUACCAUGAAAAGAAGUUUAUCAUACAUUAAUACAAAGUUAUAAUGUGGUUUUAAAUUUUAAAACAAAUUUAAAGAUUAUAGGCUUCAUAUAUAGAGCAUUUACCGAAAACUCACUAUUUUCGUAGGGGGGUACACAUAGAUUUUGAGAAAAAUUCAAAAAAUUUGAAAAUACUGUUUUAAUACAUAUUUGAAUCAUGUAAUAAUAUAUGAUGGAGUUCAAAGAGGUUUGGAACCUUUGUUGUCUCCGUUUCUCUAGGGAAUAGCAAUUUUAUAGUGGUUAGUCUAAUGAUUUAGGGAGUAUUUGCAGUUUUGCUAAAUUAAUGGAUAAAAAAUUAGAACGAUGUCCAUGUACCAUGAAAAGAAGUUUAUCAUACAUUAAUACAAAGGUAUAAUGUGGUUUUAAAUUUUAAAACAAAUUUAAAGAUUAUAGGCUUCAUAUAUAGAGCAUUUACCGAAAACUCACUAUUUUCGUAGGGGGUACACAUAGAUUUUGAGAAAAAUUUGAAAAAUUUGAAAAUACUGUUUUAAUACAUAUUUGAAUCAUGUAAUAAUAUAUGAUGAAGUUCAAAGAGGUUUGGAACCUUUGUUGUCUCCGUUUCUCUAGGGAAUAGCAAUUUUAUAGUGGUUAGUCCAAUGAUUUAGGGAGUAUUUGCAGUAAAUUAAUGGAUAAAAAAUUAGAACGAUGUCCAUGUACCAUGAAAAGAAGUUUAUCAUACAUUAAUACAAAGUAUAAUGUGGUUUUAAAUUUUAAAACAAAUUUAAAGAUUAUAGGCUUCAUAUAUAGAGCAUUUACCUAAAACUCACUAUUUUCGUAGGGGUUAACACAUAGAUUUUGAGAAAAAUUGAAAAAAUUGAAAAUACUGUUUUAAUACAUAUUUGAAUCAAGUAAAAAAAUAUGAUGAAGUUCAAAGAGGUUUGGAACCUUUGUUGUCUCCGUUUCUCUAGGGAAUAGCAAUUUUAUAGUGGUUAGUCUAAUGAUUUAGGGAGUAUUUGCAGUUUUCCUAAAUUAAUGGAUAAAAAAUUAGAACGAUGUCCAUGUACCAUGAAAAGAAGUUUAUCAUACAUUAAUACAAAGUUAUAAUGUGGUUUUAAAUUUUAAAACAAAUUUAAAGAUUAUAGGCUUCAUAUAUAGAGCAUUUACCGAAAACUCACUAUUUUCGUAGGGGGGUGGGUACACAUAGAUUUUGAGAAAAAUUCAAAAAUUUUGAAAAUACUGUUUUAAUACAUAUUUGAAUCAUGUAAUAAUAUAUGAUGAAGUUCAAAUAGAUUUGGAACCUUUGUUGUCUCCGUUUCUCUAGGGAAUAGCAAUUUUAUAGUGGUUAGUCCAAUGAUUUAGGGAGUAUUUGCAGUAACUUAAUGGAUAAAAAAUUAGAACGACGUCCAUGUACCAUGAAAAGAAGUUUAUCAUACAUUAAUACAUAGGUAUAAUGUGGUUUUAAAGAGGUUCAAAAUUUGAAAAUUUUGAAAAAAACUGUUUAAUACUAUAUUUGAAUCAUGUAAUAAUAUAUGAUGAAGUUCAAAUAGAUUUGGAACCUUUGUUGUCUCCGUUUCUCUAGGGAAUAGCAAUUUUAUAGUGGUUAGUCCAAUGAUUUAGGGAGUAUUUGCAGUAACUUAAUGGAUAAAAAAUUAGAACGACGUCCAUGUACCAUGAAAAGAAGUUUAUCAUACAUUAAUACAUAGGUAUAAUGUGGUUUUAAAGAGGUUCAAAAUUUGAAAAUUUUGAAAAAACUGUUUUAAUAUAUAUUUGAAUCAUGUAAUAAUAUAUGAUGAAGUUCAAAGAGAUUUGGAACCUUUGUUGUCUCCGUUUCUCUAGGGAAUAGCAAUUUUAUAGUGGUUAGUCCAAUGAUAUAGGGAGUAUUUGCAGUAAAUUAAUGGAUAAAAAAUUAGAACGAUGUCCAUGUACCAUGAAAAGAAGUUUAUCAUACAUUAAUACAAAGGUAUAAUGUGGUUUUAAAUUUUAAAACAAAUUUAGAGAUUAUAGGCUUCAUAUAAAGAGCAUUUACCGAAAACUCACUAUUUUCGUAGGGGUUAACCCAUAGAUUUUGAAAAAAAUCAAAAAUUUUGAAAAUACUGUUUUAAUACAUAUUUGAAUCAUGUAAUAAUAUAUGAUGAAGUUCAAAGAGGUUUGGAACCUUUGUUGUCUCCGUUUCUCUAGGGAAUAGCAAUUUUAUAGUGGUUAGUCUAAUGAUUUAGGGAGUAUUUGCAGUUUUCCUAAAUUAAUGGAUAAAAAAUUAGAACGAUGUCCAUGUACCAUGAAAAGAAGUUUAUCAUACAUUAAUACAAAGUUAUAAUGUGGUUUUAAAUUUUAAAACAAAUUUAGAGAUUAUAGGCUUCAUAUAUAGAGCAUUUACCGAAAACUCACUAUUUUCGUAGGGGGGUACACAUAGAUUUUGAGAAAAGUUUGAAAAUUUGAAAAUACUGUUUUAAUACAUAUUUGAAUCAUGUAAUAAUAUAUGAUGGAGUUCAAAGAGGUUUGGAACCUUUGUUGUCUCCGUGUCUCUAGGGAAUAGCAAUUUUAUAGUGGUUAGUCUAAUGAUUUAGGGAGUAUUUGCAGUAAAUUAAUGGAUAAAAAAUUAGAACGAUGUCCAUGUACCAUGAAAAGAAGUUUAUCAUACAUUAAUACAAAGUUAUAAUGUGGUUUUAAAUUUUAAAACAAAUUUAGAGAUUAUAGGCUUCAAAUAUAGAGCAUUUACCGAAAACUCACUAUUUUCGUAGGGGUUAACCCAUAGAUUUUGAAAAAAAUCAAUAAAAUUGAAACUACUGUUUUAAUACAUAUUUGAAUCAAGUAAUAAAAUAUGAUGAAGUUCAAAGAGGUUUGGAACCUUUGUUGUCUCCGUUUCUCUAGGGAAUAGCAAUUUUAUAGUGGUUAGUCUAAUGAUUUAGGGAGUAUUUGCAGUUUUGCUAAAUUAAUGGAUAAAAAAUUAGAUCGAUGUCCAUGUACCAUGAAAAGAAGUUUAUCAUACAUUAAUACAAAGGUAUAAUGUGGUUUUAAAUUUUAAAACAAAUUUAAAGAUUAUAGGCUUCAUAUAUAGAGCAUUUACCGAAAACUCACUAUUUUCGUAGGGGGGUACACAUAGAUUUUGAGAAAAAUUUAAAAAUUUGAAAAUACUGUUUUAAUACAUAUUUGAAUCAUGUAAUAAUAUAUGAUGAAGUUCAAAGAGAUUUGGAACCUUUGUUGUCUCCGUUUCUCUAGGGAAUAGCAAUUUUAUAGUGGUUAGUCUAAUGAUUUAGGGAGUAUUUGCAGUUUUGCUAAAUUAAUGGAUAAAAAAUUAGAACGAUGUCCAUGUACCAUGAAAAGAAGUUUAUCAUACAUUAAUACAAAGUUAUAAUGUGGUUUUAAAUUUUAAAACAAAUUUAAAGAUUAUAGGCUUCAUAUAUAGAGCAUUUACCGAAAACUCACUAUUUUCGUAGGGGGUACACAUAGAUUUUGAGAAAAAUUCAAAAAAUUUGAAAAUACUGUUUUAAUACAUAUUUGAAUCAUGUAAUAAUAUAUGAUGGAGUUCAAAGAGGUUUGGAACCUUUGUUGUCUCCGUUUCUCUAGGGAAUAGCAAUUUUAUAGUGGUUAGUCUAAUGAUUUAGGGAGUAUUUGCAGUUUUGCUAAAUUAAUGGAUAAAAAAUUAGAACGAUGUCCAUGUACCAUGAAAAGAAGUUUAUCAUACAUUAAUACAAAGGUAUAAUGUGGUUUUAAAUUUUAAAACAAAUUUAAAGAUUAUAGGCUUCAUAUAUAGAGCAUUUACCGAAAACUCACUAUUUUCGUAGGGGGUACACAUAGAUUUUGAGAAAAAUUCAAAAAAUUUGAAAAUACUGUUUUAAUACAUAUUUGAAUCAUGUAAUAAUAUAUGAUGAAGUUCAAAGAGGUUUGGAACCUUUGUUGUCUCCGUUUCUCUAGGGAAUAGCAAUUUUAUAGUGGUUAGUCUAAUGAUUUAGGGAGUAUUUGCAGUUUUGCUAAAUUAAUGGAUAAAAAAUUAGAACGAUGUCCAUGUACCAUGAAAAGAAGUUUAUCAUACAUUAAUACAAAGGUAUAAUGUGGUUUUAAAUUUUAAAACAAAUUUAAAGAUUAUAGGCUUCAUAUAUAGAGCAUUUACCGAAAACUCACUAUUUUCGUAGGGGGGUACACAUAGAUUUUGAGAAAAAUUUGAAAAAUUUGAAAAUACUGUUUUAAUACAUAUUUGAAUCAUGUAAUAAUAUAUGAUGAAGUUCAAAGAGAUUUGGAACCUUUGUUGUCUCCGUUUCUCUAGGGAAUAGCAAUUUUAUAGUGGUUAGUCCAAUGAUUUAGGGAGUAUUUGCAGUAAAUUAAUGGAUAAAAAAUUAGAACGAUGUCCAUGUACCAUGAAAAGAAGUUUAUCAUACAUUAAUACAAAGGUAUAAUGUGGUUUUAAAUUUUAAAACAAAUUUAAAGAUUAUAGGCUUCAUAUAUAGAGCAUUUACCGAAAACUCACUAUUUUCGUAGGGGUUAACACAUAGAUUUUGAAAAAAAUCAAAAAAAAUUGAAAAUACUGUUUUAAUACAUAUUUGAAUCAAGUAAAAAAAUAUGAUGAAGUUCAAAGAGGUUUGGAACCUUUGUUGUCUCCGUUUCUCUAGGGAAUAGCA